UACGGAGGGUGCGAGCGUUGUCCGGAAUCGCUGGGCGUAAAGCGCGUGUCGGCGGUCCGUUAAGUCUGAUGUGAAAGCCCGGGGCUCACCCCCGGAAGGGCAUUGGAAACUGACGGACUCGAGUCCCGGAGAGGAGGGUGGAAUUCCUGGUGUAGCGGUGAAAUGCGUAGAUAUCAGGAGGAACACCGGUGGCGAAGGCGGCCCUCUGGACGGUGACUGACGCUGAGACGCGAAAGCGUGGGGAGCAAACAGG
rnacentral:rRNA from 1 species